ACUACCCUCUUCAUGCACUCAUCUUUCCAUUUUUUCCUCCCUAUAAACUUCUUCAUUUCCUCCCUUCCCUCCCAUCUUACCAUAACCAAAUCUCUCUCUCUCACCCUCUCCCCCUCUCUCUUUCUUAGUCUCAACAUCUUGAAAUAGAGUAGAGAGGGAGAAGAAAGAGUCUCAAAGAUGAAACCAAAAGACAAGUUUCUCAAAGGUCCCAAUAAGGAGUACCAUCACAUGCAUGUGAUGACUAUAAGCAACUUCAUCAUCAUCAUCAUAGCCAUGGUCAACCCUUUGAGAUUCUUUGACAAAAUAGAACAAGCCAUUGGUGGCUCUGAAAUUGCAGCUGACAUCUCUUCACCAACACCAGAAAUUGCAGCAGGUUCAUUCUAAUCAAGGGUGCUAUCCUAUCUGAGCUUUUAUUCACCUUUCUCUUUUUUUUUCUCCAUUUUUCUCCAUUUUUUUAUACUCUAGUUGUGCGUCUUCUUGACCUUGUAAGACCUUUUCUUGACCUUGUAAGACCUCAGCGUGAGUCUGUUUUCUUCGUUUUUGCUUUUGUGGAAGACUUUAUAUCAAAAUUUUUUGGUAUAAGGUUUUUUCCUCGAUUUUCCUUUUUACCACCCAACUCAUUCUCUCUUUUCUUGUCUAUCCCUCCUGAGCUAUCUCCAUUUUCGCCAUUCAGGUUUAACCACAAUUUAUGGCUUGAAAAUUGGAGAAAAAAACCUUAUAAGUUGUAAUGUUGCUUAUUAUAGCUUUUUGAGAUCAAGAAACUUCAUAUUACAAUUUGGGUUUAAUUCAUGAGAAAUUGUAAAUAAAUUUAUCCUAUUUGAUCUUAUUAUCA